GCCGGUACGUAUGAACGGUCGAUGCCUGAUUAGCUAGUUGGUGAGGUAAAGGCUUACCAAGGCGACGAUCAGUAGCUGGUCUGAGAGGACGACCAGCCACACUGGGACUGAGACACGGCCCAGACUCCUACGGGAGGCAGCAGUGGGGAAUUUUGGACAAUGGGGGAAACCCUGAUCCAGCCAUGCCGCGUGAGUGAAGAAGGCCUUCGGGUUGUAAAGCUCUUUCAGCCGGAACGAAACGGUCACGGCUAAUACCUGUGACUACUGACGGUACCGGAAGAAGAAGCACCGGCUAACUACGUGCCAGCAGCCGCGGUAAUACGUAGGGUGCGAGCGUUAAUCGGAAUUACUGGGCGUAAAGCGUGCGCAGGCGGUUUUGUAAGUCAGAUGUGAAAUCCCCGGGCUUAACCUGGGAACUGCGUUUGAAACU
rnacentral:rRNA from 1 species